UAAAGCAAGAAAGGGCGUAUGGGGAAUGCCUAGGCACACUCCGGCGAAGAAGGACGCAGCAAACAGCGAAAUGCGACGGUGAGCGGUAAGCACGUGAAGAGCCGUCGAUAUCCGAAUGGGGGAACCCACACGGAGUCAUAUCCGUGUAUCACAUGUCGAAUACAUAGACAUGAUGAGGCGAGACGCAGGGAACUGAAACAUCUAAGUACCUGCAGGAAGAGAAAAUAAGAAUGAUUUUCUGAGUAGCGGCGAGCGAAAGGGAAAGAGCCCAAACCGAUCUGAGGAUCGGGGUAGUAGGAUCAUCGAUAAAUCAAACAGAGGAUCAUAGAGGAAUCACAUGGGAAGGUGAGCGAGAGAGGGUGAGAGCCCCGUACUCGAAAUGAGAGACUGGAGAGAGAUGACACCUGAGUAGGGCGGGACACGAGAAAUCCUGUCUGAAUCAGCCGGGACCAUCCGGCAAGGCUAAAUACGAGAGAGUGACCGAUAGUGAACCAGUACCGUGAGGGAAAGGUGAAAAGAACCCCGGGAGGGGAGUGAAAGAGAACCUGAAACCAUAUGCCUACAAGAAGUCAGAGCCCGUUAAAGGGUGAUGGCGUGCCUUUUGUAGAAUGAACCGGCGAGUUACUGUAUGGAGCGAGGUUAAGCAGGAUAUGCGGAGCCGAAGCGAAAGCGAGUCUUAAGAGGGCGCGAGUUGCAUGCAGUAGACCCGAAACCGGGUGAUCUAGCCAUGACCAGGUUGAAGUUGGGGUAAAACCCGAUGGAGGACCGAACCGACCCCCGUUGAAACGUUGGCGGAUGAGUUGUGGCUAGGGGUGAAAUUCCAAUCGAACCCGGAGAUAGCUGGUUCUCCCCGAAAUAGCUUUAGGGCUAGCGUCGAGAGAAGAGUUGCGUGAAGGUAGAGCACUGAAUAUGUGAUGGCCCCAUCUCGGGGUACUGAGCAUAAUCAAACUGCGAAUGUCACGCCAACAUGCUCGGCAGUCAGACAGCGGGUGAUAAGGUCCGUUGUCAAGAGGGAAACAGCCCAGACCAUCAGCUAAGGUCCCAAAAUGUAUGCUAAGUGGAAAAGGAUGUGGAGAUGUACAGACAACUAGGAGGUUGGCUCAGAAGCAGCCAUCCUUUAAAGAGUGCGUAACAGCUCACUAGUCGAAUGACUCUGCGCCGAUAAUUUACCGGGGCUAAGCAUACUACCGAAGCUAUGGAUCCCAAGGGAUGGUAGGGGAGCGUUCCAUGAACGGAGAAGUACGACCGAAAGGACGUGUGGAGAUCAUGGAAGAGAGAAUGCCGGUGUGAGUAGCGGAACGUGGGUGAGAAUCCCACGCACCGAAAACCCAAGGUUUCCAGAGGAAGGUUCGUCCGCUCUGGGUAAGUCGGGACCUAAGGCGAGGCCGAAAGGCGUAGUCGAUGGACAACAGGUAGAGAUUCCUGUACCCGUAUAUAUGUGAAGGAAUGACGGAGAGAGGAAGCUGCAGCCAGCGGCUGGAAGAGCUGGUGCAAGCGAGAUAUCGGGAUGGCAGGCAAAUCCACCAUCCGAAACGAGAAGGCGUGAAGCGUACGGAAAGCUACGGCGAGUACGGAAGGCAGUGGAGGAACUUCCAAGAAAAGUUUCUAACGUUAAGUAUAUAUGGCCCGUACCGAAAAUGGACACACAUGGGUGAGGAGAGAAUCCUAAGGUGAGCGAGAGAACUAUAGCUAAGGAACUCUGCAAAAUGACUCCGUAACUUAGGGAGAAGGAGUGCUCAUAGAGAUAUGAGCCGCAGUGAAACGGCCCAAGCGACUGUUUACCAAAAACACAGCUCUCUGCUAAGCCGCAAGGCGAAGUAUAGGGGGUGACGCCUGCCCGGUGCUGGAAGGUUAAGGGGAGGGGUUAACGCAAGUGAAGCCCUGAACUGAAGCCCCAGUAAACGGCGGCCGUAACUAUAACGGUCCUAAGGUAGCGAAAUUCCUUGUCAGGUAAGUUCUGACCCGCACGAAAGG
rnacentral:rRNA from 1 species